UGGUUUCUGGAUCAAUGAGAU
rnacentral:piRNA from 1 species